rnacentral:lncRNA from 1 species
AUAUAAUAUAAUCUUAAUUUUUAAAGUGCCCUUCACUUUUCCUUUCCCACCCCUUUACAGCACAAGCUACCCUUCUACCCAUUCCAUCCCCCUUUCUCCUUAGGUAUAGCACAUUAACUACUCACCCCCUCCCUGGCAUGUCCUGCCUCCAAUCGUUGUCACAUUGUUGAUUACCGAUCGACUACUUUCGGUCUCCGUCCGUCAUCACAUUUACUCUCCUUCUCCCUAAGAACAAGAUCAUCAGUCUUCAUCUCUUGAAGCCUCUAUCCCUUGUCGGGAUUGUCGCCAUCUCUGGCACAGUCCCACCAACGCCCAAAAUCUCUUGCUGAUGCUUAGGUAUGGAUGAAUCUUCCUUUUGAUGCUCUGUGAUUAGGUGGAAAGGGGCUAGGGUUUGUGUGUGAAUCUUCAUCUGCUA